UGGACAUAUCGUGUUGAAACAUCAGUUGCCGUACGAUCAUUGAAGUUAAGCAAUGUUGCGCUUAGUCAGAACCAAUAUGGGUGAUUACUUGGGAAUACCAGGUGCUGUAA